rnacentral:rRNA from 1 species
AUUAUACCGUGAAACUGCGAAUGGCUCAUUAAAUCAGUUAUCGUUUAUUUGAUAGUACCUUACCACUUGGAUAACCGUGGUAAUUCUAGAGCUAAUACAUGCUAAAAACCCCGACUUCGGAAGGGGUGUGUUUAUUAGAUAAAAAACCAAUGCCCUUCGGGGCUCUUUGGUGAUUCAUGAUAACCUAACGGAUCGCAUGGCCUUGCGCCGGCGACGGUUCAUUCAAAUUUCUGCCCUAUCAACUUUCGAUGGUAAGGUAUUGGCUUACCAUGGUUUCAACGGGUAACGGGGAAUUAGGGUUCGAUUCCGGAGAGGGAGCCUGAGAAACGGCUACCACAUCCAAGGAAGGCAGCAGGCGCGCAAAUUACCCAAUCCCGACACGGGGAGGUAGUGACAAUAAAUACUGAUAUAGGGCUCUUUUGGGUCUUGUAAUUGGAAUGAGUACAAUUUAAACCCCUUAACGAGGAACAAUUGGAGGGCAAGUCUGGUGCCAGCAGCCGCGGUAAUUCCAGCUCCAAUAGCGUAUAUUAAAGUUGUUGCAGUUAAAAAGCUCGUAGUUGAACUUGGGGCUGGCUAGCGGGUCCGCCUUACCGCGUGCACUUGUCCGGCUGGACCUUUCCUUCUGGAGAACCUCAUGCCCUUCACUGGGUGUGUUGGGGAACCAGGACUUUUACUUUGAAAAAAUUAGAGUGUUCAAAGCAGGCCUUUGCUCGAAUACAUUAGCAUGGAAUAAUAGAAUAGGACGUGCGGUCCUAUUUUGUUGGUUUCUAGGAUCGCCGUAAUGAUUAAUAGGGAUAGUCGGGGGCAUCAGUAUUCAAUUGUCAGAGGUGAAAUUCUUGGAUUUAUUGAAGACUAACUACUGCGAAAGCAUUUGCCAAGGAUGUUUUCAUUAAUCAGUGAACGAAAGUUAGGGGAUCGAAGACGAUCAGAUACCGUCGUAGUCUUAACCGUAAACUAUGCCGACUAGGGAUCGGGCGAUGUUUCUAUCUUGACUCGCUCGGCACCUUACGAGAAAUCAAAGUUUUUGGGUUC